GAUGAACGUUGGCGGCGUGCCUAACACAUGCAAGUCGAACGGGAGACCCAUUUCGAUGGGUUGAGAGUGGCGCACGGGUGCGUAACACGUAGCUCACCGUGCCCUCAAGACGGGGAUAACGCUGGGAAACCAGGGCUAAGACCCGAUAAGCUCACGGACUGUAGAGGUUGGUGAAGAAAAGGUGCAAUGCUUGAGGAUGGGGCUGCGGCCCAUCAGCUAGUUGGUGCGGUAAGAGCGUACCAAGGCGACGACGGGUAGGGGGCCUGAGAGGGUGGCCCCCCACACU
rnacentral:rRNA from 1 species